UCAAGCGGAGUCCAGCGGCCCUCCUUACUCUGCGUGGAGUGAAUACUGAUAGUGGGAGUACCUGUCGCGAAGCCUCCUUUGAAGGAAUCAGCCAAUUCAAAGUAAACAACACCAUCCUGCACCCUGU